GUGCCAGCAGCCGCGGUAAUACGUAGGUGGCAAGCGUUGUCCGGAUUUAUUGGGCGUAAAGCGAGCGCAGGCGGUUUUUUAAGUCUGAUGUGAAAGCCUUCGGCUCAACCGAAGAAGUGCAUCGGAAACUGGGAAACUUGAGUGCAGAAGAGGACAGUGGAACUCCAUGUGUAGCGGUGAAAUGCGUAGAUAUAUGGAAGAACACCAGUGGCGAAGGCGGCUGUCUGGUCUGUAACUGACGCUGAGGCUCGAAAGUAUGGGUAGCAAACAGGAUUAGAUACCCUGGUAGUCCAUACCGUAAACGAUGAAUGCUAAGUGUUGGAGGGUUUCCGCCCUUCAGUGCUGCAGCUAACGCAUUAAGCAUUCCGCCUGGGGAGUACGGCCGCAAGGCUGAAACUCAAAGGAAUUGACGGGGGCCCGCACAAGCGGUGGAGCAUGUGGUUUAAUUCGAAGCUACGCGAAGAACCUUACCAGGUCUUGACAUACUAUGCAAAUCUAAGAGAUUAGACGUUCCCUUCGGGGACAUGGAUACAGGUGGUGCAUGGUUGUCGUCAGCUCGUGUCGUGAGAUGUUGGGUUAAGUCCCGCAACGAGCGCAACCCUUAUUAUCAGUUGCCAGCAUUAAGUUGGGCACUCUGGUGAGACUGCCGGUGACAAACCGGAGGAAGGUGGGGAUGACGUCAAAUCAUCAUGCCCCUUAUGACCUGGGCUACACACGUGCUACAAUGGAUGGUACAACGAGUUGCGAACUCGCGAGAGUAAGCUAAUCUCUUAAAGCCAUUCUCAGUUCGAAUUGUAGGCUGCAACUCGCCUACAUGAAGUCGGAAUCGCUAGUAAUCGCGGAUCAGCAUGCCGCGGUGAAUACGUUCCCGGGCCUUGUACACACCGCCCGU
rnacentral:rRNA from 1 species